AUAAAAUAAUUAUGUUUUUGGAAAUUUAUUAUAAAUUUAUUUUACAUAUAAAUUUUAGUAUAUAAUUUUAAUUAUUUAAAUAAUAAUUAAUUAUUUUAGUAGUAAUUAAUAUUAAAAAUUUAAGAAAUUAAGAUUUAGUAAUAUAAAAAUUAAUAACUAAUUUUGUGCCAGCAGUUGCGGUUAAACAAAAGUUAAAUUAAAUUGUUUCAGUAUAUAAUAAAUAAUAAAAUUAUUAAAAUAAAUAUUAAAUUAUUAAGUGAAAUUUUAAUUUAAUUAAAUUUUAUUUUAAAUUUAUGAUUUAAUAAAUUUUGACAUAAACUAGGAUUAGAUACCCUAUUAUUAAAAAUUUAAUUUAUAAUACUAAAAUAGUAAAUAAUAAUUUAUUGAAACUUAAAUAAUAUGGCGGUAUUUUAGUUCAUUUAGAGGAAUCUGUCUAAUAAUUGAUAAUCCACGAAUAAAUUUACUUAAUUUAUAAUUUUGUAUAUCAUUGUUAAAAAAAUAUUUUUUAUGAAAAAUAAUAUUUAAAAAUUAUAAAAAAAAAUUAAAUCAGAUCAAGAUGCAGAGUAUAAUUAAGAAUAUGAUGGAUUACAUUAAAUAUAUUUAUAUGAAUAAUUUUAUUGUAAUAAAAAUUUGAAAGUGGAUUUAAAUGUAAUUUUAAUUAAUUUAUUAAAAUGAUUAAAAAUUAAAAUAUGUACAUAUUGCCCGUCACUUUCAUUUAAAAAUUGAAAUAAGUCGUAACAAAGUAGAGGUACUGGAAAGUGUUUCUAGAAAGA
rnacentral:ncRNA from 1 species